rnacentral:rRNA from 1 species
CCAGAGAACUUUCCAGAGAUGGAUUGGUGCCUUCGGGAACUCUGAGACAGGUGCUGCAUGGCUGUCGUCAGCUCGUGUUGUGAAAUGUUGGGUUAAGUCCCGCAACGAGCGCAACCCUUAUCCUUUGUUGCCAGCGGUCCGGCCGGGAACUCAAAGGAGACUGCCAGUGAUAAACUGGAGGAAGGUGGGGAUGACGUCAAGUCAUCAUGGCCCUUACGAGUAGGGCUACACACGUGCUACAAUGGCGCAUACAAAGAGAAGCGACCUCGCGAGAGCAAGCGGACCUCAUAAAGUGCGUCGUAGUCCGGAUUGGAGUCUGCAACUCGACUCCAUGAAGUCGGAAUCGCUAGUAAUCGUGGAUCAGAAUGCCACGGUGAAUACGUUCCCGGGCCUUGUACACACCGCCCGUCACACCAUGGGAGUGGGUUGCAAAAGAAGUAGGUAGCUUAACCUUCGGGAGGGCGCUUACCACUUUGUGAUCCAUGACUGGGGUGAAGUCGUAACAAGGUAAGCGUAGUGCU